rnacentral:lncRNA from 1 species
AAAUAUGGCAAGUUUCAACUAUAAAUGGAAGAGUUUAACCAUUUCUGCCCCAUUUGGAACUAUGCUACUCUUUAGUUAUUUAUUUUUAUAACUAAACAAAUGAACACAGGUGGGUGUGCAUGAAAUGGAGACAAAUAAAUUCCAUGUGUAAUAUUUCAAAGAGUACUUUUAAGAUGUGAGUUAUUGUGCUAACCGCAUAAUGUGCCAUUUUGCCACAGAAUAAGAUAGUUAUCUUCCCCACAGGAAGCCAAGUAGGGACAAUAGAAACUUUACAUUGCUUUGAAUUAUGUGUUGAAAGAUGUGUGUUUUUUUAAUAGUAGGUAGCUAUAACCAAAAUGAAUAAAAUGUUAAAAAUAAGCAUACAAAUAAUGAUGUUUCGAUUUCAGCCCUGCUGGAAUACAGCAGUUGUUCCUGAUAUAAUUGCUGUUGGCUUUUGCUGUUGGAAACACAACUCAUUUAGUUUUCAUUUGCUGGAAAUGCAGAUAUGGUUGAUGAAGGUUUUUUGUGUGGACCACCUCAUCAAUACAUCUAUAUGCGGAACUGAAGAGCUCCGUCAUUAGAGAAAGUGGGAGUGGAUUGCAAACUCGGCUUCCAAAAACGUGUUGAAUUCAAGCAAAUGGAGGACAGGAGUUGGCAAUAGAAACUCGGUGUGGAAAAAUGAGCAUGGCAGAUGAAAAGGACUACCUCGUGAUCCAGAGGUUCGUGUUGUAAACUGAAGCAGUGCUUCAGGCUACAAGUAGAUGGUCCUGGAAGCCAUCUACACCACAAAGCCACGUAUUUUUCAGAUAGAUUUCAGACUAGGGUAACUGCUUAUUUCAAUGACAUUUUAGAAAGAUUAAUAGACAAGAGUGGAUGAGAGGGAGAAAAACUAAUUGCAAUCAGAAGGGUAACUUGUUUAGACAAAUUUAUAGAGAAAAUACUGAAUACAGGAUUUAAACAAGAAACCUCUUUCUAGUGUUCUAAUCUCUGUGAUUCUGGAUUAUAUAGUGUGUAUUUAUUGUCUCUGUUUAUGCAUCCCUGCGCUCGCCUCAGCCAAUUCAGUGUGUCUUCCAUAACUACCAUUUCCGAAUUAGUGUUCAAAAUUAGCAUUAUUUGCAAGGGCCAUUUGUUUACUUGUCUAUUAUAGGUCUUCUCCAUCAGAAUAUUUGUACUAUGAAGAAAGAAAAUAUAUCCUGUUCAUCCCUGUAUUCCUUGAAUCUUGACUAUAUCCCUUGAAUAUAUCCUGGCACAUAGUAGGUGCCCUAGGAAUGUGUUUUUGAAUUUGUAUUGGCUUUUCUUUAUGCAUUUGUAAUAUUCCAGGUUUAGUAUGUGGACAUAUUUGCAUGACAGGAUUGCAAAUAAAUAUUUUGCAAUGUGUUUCA